AGAGAAGAAGGCCAUAUGAAGAUGGAGCAAGAGAUUGGAGUGAUGUGGCCACAAGCCAAGGAAGCUGAGGAAUGAAGACAGCUAUCAGAAGCUGGAAGAGGAAAAGGAUUCUCUCUUGGGGCCUCCAGAGGGAGAACAGCCAUGCCAACACUUCCAUUUCCAAUGUCUGGACUCUAGAACUGUGAGAAAAUAAAUUCCCAUUAUUUUAAGGAACACAGUUUGUGAUACUGCAUUACAGCAGCUCCAGGAAACAGAUACAUUUUGUUAUUCCAAGUCCUCUUCACAACAAAGUCUUUGCUAGUGGUGAACCAAACACAGUGCCACCAUCAUGAGCCCCUGUUCUGGAUGAGGGGGCAACACAGUUCAGCCACUGGUCAUCUCUACUUAAUGUCUAAUGGGCAUCUCAAAGCUAACUUUCUCCCAGUGGAAAUGCCUGGAGUGAAUGGCAUCCUUUUCUAUACCAUGAGGAAAAUGGAGAUCUUCAUGCAUAAAACCUCUCAGCUUUCUGCUCCCCAUGUGCAAAUAAAGUGAAUGUAUAUCUAUAGCCAUGGCCAAGAUGAACUGCUGUUAACCAGAAUCUAUUCCUCCCUUCCUCCUGGACACACAGCUCCGCUACAUUCCUCAACCUCCCUUGCAACUGCAAGGGGUGUAUCAUGUGAUGAAAUUUUUUGCCACUGGAAUUUGAGCAUUAGUAUUGUCUACCACUUCCAUGCCUGGUCUAUAAAAAUGUUUCACGUGCACAUCACCGUGAUCUUUCCCCUUCUGGCAAGCUGUUUGAUGAUAUGAAAACCAUGUGUUAAAGAUGGCAGAGCUGCCAUCAGCUUUGUUCCUUAAAUAACUGCAUGGGAAGUAGCUGCCUGCCUGUCUUUAAAAACUGCCCUAAAAAUGAUGUAAGUGAGAAAUAAACUUUAUUUUUGAGUCA